rnacentral:rRNA from 1 species
AAUCAACGCUGGCGGCGUGCCUCAGACAUGCAAGUCGAGCGCGAAAGAGGGCUUCGGCCCUUGAGUAGAGUGGCGCACGGGUGAGUAACACGUGGGUAAUUUACCUUUGGGUGGGGAAUAACAGUCGGAAACGGCUGCUAAUACCGCAUAAUGCAGCGGCUCCACAUGGAGACAGUUGUUAAAGCGGGGGAGCGAGCAAUCGCCCUCGCGCCUGAAGAGAAGCCCGCGGCAGAUUAGCUAGUUGGUGAGGUAAUGGCUCACCAAGGCUUCGAUCUGUAGCCGGCCUGAGAGGGCGGUCGGCCACACUGACACUGAAUAACGGGUCAGACUCCUACGGGAGGCAGCAGUCGGGAAUUUUGGGCAAUGGGCGCAAGCCUGACCCAGCAACGCCGCGUGAAGGAUGAAAUCUUUCGGGAUGUAAACUUCACAAGAACGGGAAGAAUAAGUGGGGGAC